rnacentral:rRNA from 1 species
UAUGGUGAUUAUUGCAUCGAGGAUCACCUCUUCCCAUACCGAACAGAGAAGUUAAGCUCGAUAGCGCAGAUGGUACUGAGAAAUCGGGAGAGUAUGUCAUCGCCAUUU